rnacentral:misc_RNA from 1 species
CUUCUUUAUAAGCUUUUCUACCUAAUAAAACAGACAGCCAUACUUAUAAAACCAAAAAGUUAAACAAAGUACAAUAAUCGAAAAACCAAAUCCUGUAUAGUGUGACAGCAAAAUGUCUCAACCUUCAUCAGUGUACUUAUUCGGACGACUCAAAUGGUCAUGCACAACACAAAUAUGAUAAUUUCAUAGUGGUGAAUAUGGAAACAUAACACAACUGGAUGCAGCAGUCUAAGCAAAGAUAUAGGAUGUUCUAAACCUAGAGAUAUCCCUUCUCUUUGCAGCAUUGAAUUGCUUCAUCAAACAUCUCAUCUAGCCCAUAGUUGAAUUCAAAACCAGAGUCCAAUAGUUUCUUUGAAGACACUCCUGGGAGUUUUUUGCCUUCAAUAUCCUUCAGGGAUCUGUCAAGAAAGCAAAAUUAACAGUCUCAUUACUUUCAAAUGCAGUAUUAGAAGAAGAAUAUAGGGAAAAAAAAAUAAUAUUACUCACUCCACUUUUGGUAUUGGGAACUCUGGAUACUUGGCAGAAAGAAAUUUAGACAUCUCUUCAAUGGUUAUGGUGUGUGAAGAACAAAUGUAUCUCCCUUUUGCAUCAGGAUAUUCAAAGAGAUGUAUGUGUGCUCUAGCCACAUCAUCUGUGUGCACCAUUGAUAUAUUGAGAAGAGCACCAUAUUGCUCCCUCUCACCCACUAUCAUAGCCAUUGCUGUGUGCACUGAACCAGGGAACUUAGGACAAAUAAAGGGACCAACAAUAAAAGAAGGAAUUACUGUUACAAGAUCCAAUCCAUGUUCUUCUGCGAAUUCGAGAGCUCUCUUCUCUGUUAAUGUCUUGCAAAUAUUGUAAGGAACAAAAUAAGACUUAAAGGACUUAAUGUAAUCCACAUCACUCCAAAAGCUCUCAUCCAUUGUGUCCGCAACCUUGUCACUAUACUCAACUGCUGAUGCACUGGAAGUGUACACAACUCGCUUCACUGUCCUGGAGUUCAAGCAUGCUUUUAAGAUCCCUAAUGUUCCAUCAAUCGUUCUUUUGACAAGCACUUCCUCAGGUUCUUUGUUUUCAAAAUCGACAGGAGUAGCUACAUGAAACACACCGAUGCAUCCUAUAAUAGCCGCUUCAAAACUUUCUGGGACACUCAUAUCAGCUUCGAAGACUUGGAGUUUCUCGGACGCUCCUGGCAGGCUUGUUAAGAAACUAACAUCCCUCUUGUGUUCUGGGUCAGGCCUAAUAGUGGUGUGGACAGAGUAUCCAUGCUGAAGAAGCCUCAUGAUCAACCAUGAAGCUACAAAUCCAGUACCUCCUGUAACACAUACUUUACCUUUAUCUGCUUCCAUCAAAAGCUCUCGAGGAAGAAAGCGCACAGCAAAAAAUUGCUCUCUAUCCUUUUAAUUUGCUAGCAGAGGUAGGGCUAAUUAUUAGGUGCACCCGGUGCACUAAAAAA